rnacentral:rRNA from 1 species
GACGAACGCUGGCGGCGUGGAUUAGGCAUGCAAGUCGAACGGUAUCAUCCUUUCGGGGGUGAGAGAGUGGCGAACUGGUGAGUAACACGUAGGUUAUCUACCCUCAAGACGGGGACAACCCAGGGAAACUUGGGCUAAUACCGGAUGUGAGCAACUUUUAGUUGUUUGAAAGGUGGCGUAAGCUGUCGCUUGGGGAUGAGCCUGCGUCCUAUUAGUUAGUUGGUGAGGUAACGGCUCACCUAGGCAAUGAUAGGUAGGCGGCCUUAACGGGUGGUCGCCCACACUGGGAUUGAGAUACGGCCCAGACUCCUACGGGAGGCAGCAGUCGAGAAUAGUCUACAAUGGUCGGAAGACUGAUAGUGCGACGCCGCGUGAACGAUGAAUCCCUUCGGGGUGUAAAAGUUCUUUUAUAUGUGAGCAGUGCUUCUUAUAUUAACAGUAUGGGGAGAGAGAUAUUAGCAUAUGAAUAAAGCAACGGCUAACUCCGUGCCAGCAGCCGCGGU